rnacentral:rRNA from 1 species
UCGAUGCAACGCGAAGAACCUUACCUGGUCUUGACAUCCACAGAACUUUCCAGAGAUGGAUUGGUGCCUUCGGGAACUGUGAGACAGGUGCUGCAUGGCUGUCGUCAGCUCGUGUUGUGAAAUGUUGGGUUAAGUCCCGCAACGAGCGCAACCCUUAUCCUUUGUUGCCAGCGGUCCGGCCGGGAACUCAAAGGAGACUGCCAGUGAUAAACUGGAGGAAGGUGGGGAUGACGUCAAGUCAUCAUGGCCCUUACGACCAGGGCUACACACGUGCUACAAUGGCGCAUACAAAGAGAAGCGACCUCGCGAGAGCAAGCGGACCUCAUAAAGUGCGUCGUAGUCCGGAUUGGAGUCUGCAACUCGACUCCAUGAAGUCGGAAUCGCUAGUAAUCGUGGAUCAGAAUGCCACGGUGAAUACGUUCCCGGGCCUUGUACACACCGCCCGUCACACCAUGGGAGUGGGUUGCAAAAGAAGUAGGUAGCUUAACCUUCGGGAGGGCGCUUACCACUUUGUGAUUCAUGACUGGGGUGAAGUCGUAACAAGGUAACCGUAGGGGAACCUGCGGUUGGA